GGGACACGUGGUAUCCUGUCUGAAUAUGGGGGGACCAUCCUCCAAGGCUAAAUACUCCUGACUGACCGAUAGUGAACCAGUACCGUGAGGGAAAGGCGAAAAGAACCCCGGCGAGGGGAGUGAAAAAGAACCUGAAACCGUGUACGUACAAGCAGUGGGAGCACGCUUCGGCGUGUGACUGCGUACCUUUUGUAUAAUGGGUCAGCGACUUAUAUUCUGUAGCAAGGUUAACCGAAUAGGGGAGCCGAAGGGAAACCGAGUCUUAACUGGGCGUUAAGUUGCAGGGUAUAGACCCGAAACCCGGUGAUCUAGCCAUGGGCAGGUUGAAGGUUGGGUAACACUAACUGGAGGACCGAACCGACUAAUGUUGAAAAAUUAGCGGAUGACUUGUGGCUGGGGGUGAAAGGCCAAUCAAACCGGGAGAUAGCUGGUUCUCCCCGAAAGCUAUUUAGGUAGCGCCUCGUGAAUUCAUCUCCGGGGGUAGAGCACUGUUUCGGCAAGGGGGUCAUCCCGACUUACCAACCCGAUGCAAACUGCGAAUACCGGAGAAUGUUAUCACGGGAGACACACGGCGGGUGCUAACGUCCGUCGUGAAGAGGGAAACAACCCAGACCGCCAGCUAAGGUCCCAAAGUCAUGGUUAAGUGGGAAACGAUGUGGGAAGGCCCAGACAGCCAGGAUGUUGGCUUAGAAGCAGCCAUCAUUUAAAGAAAGCGUAAUAGCUCACUGGUCGAGUCGGCCUGCGCGGAAGAUGUAACGGGGCUAAACCAUGCACCGAAGCUGCGGCAGCGACGCUGAUGCGUUGUUGGGUAGGGGAGCGUUCUGUAAGCCUGCGAAGGUGUGCUGUGAGGCAUGCUGGAGGUAUCAGAAGUGCGAAUGCUGACAUAAGUAACGAUAAAGCGGGUGAAAAGCCCGCUCGCCGGAAGACCAAGGGUUCCUGUCCAACGUUAAUCGGGGCAGGGUGAGUCGACCCCUAAGGCGAGGCCGAAAGGCGUAGUCGAUGGGAAACAGGUUAAUAUUCCUGUACUUGGUGUUACUGCGAAGGGGGGACGGAGAAGGCUAUGUUGGCCGGGCGACGGUUGUCCCGGUUUAAGCGUGUAGGCUGGUUUUCCAGGCAAAUCCGGAAAAUCAAGGCUGAGGCGUGAUGACGAGGCACUACGGUGCUGAAGCAACAAAUGCCCUGCUUCCAGGAAAAGCCUCUAAGCAUCAGGUAACAUCAAAUCGUACCCCAAACCGACACAGGUGGUCAGGUAGAGAAUACCAAGGCGCUUGAGAGAACUCGGGUGAAGGAACUAGGCAAAAUGGUGCCGUAACUUCGGGAGAAGGCACGCUGAUAUGUAGGUGAGGUCCCUCGCGGAUGGAGCUGAAAUCAGUCGAAGAUACCAGCUGGCUGCAACUGUUUAUUAAAAACACAGCACUGUGCAAACACGAAAGUGGACGUAUACGGUGUGACGCCUGCCCGGUGCCGGAAGGUUAAUUGAUGGGGUCAGCGCAAGCGAAGCUCUUGAUCGAAGCCCCGGUAAACGGCGGCCGUAACUAUAACGGUCCUAAGGUAGCGAAAUUCCUUGUCGGGUAAGUUCCGACCUGCACGAAUGGCGUAAUGAUGGCCAGGCUGUCUCCACCCGAGACUCAGUGAAAUUGAACUCGCUGUGAAGAUGCAGUGUACCCGCGGCAAGACGGAAAGACCCCGUGAACCUUUACUAUAGCUUGACACUGAACAUUGAGCCUUGAUGUGUAGGAUAGGUGGGAGGCUUUGAAGUGUGGACGCCAGUCUGCAUGGAGCCGACCUUGAAAUACCACCCUUUAAUGUUUGAUGUUCUAACGUUGACCCGUAAUCCGGGUUGCGGACAGUGUCUGGUGGGUAGUUUGACUGGGGCGGUCUCCUCCUAAAGAGUAACGGAGGAGCACGAAGGUUGGCUAAUCCUGGUCGGACAUCAGGAGGUUAGUGCAAUGGCAUAAGCCAGCUUGACUGCGAGCGUGACGGCGCGAGCAGGUGCGAAAGCAGGUCAUAGUGAUCCGGUGGUUCUGAAUGGAAGGGCCAUCGCUCAACGGAUAAAAGGUACUCCGGGGAUAACAGGCUGAUACCGCCCAAGAGUUCAUAUCGACGGCGGUGUUUGGCACCUCGAUGUCGGCUCAUCACAUCCUGGGGCUGAAGUAGGUCCCAAGGGUAUGGCUGUUCGCCAUUUAAAGUGGUACGCGAGCUGGGUUUAGAACGUCGUGAGACAGUUCGGUCCCUAUCUGCCGUGGGCGCUGGAGAACUGAGGGGGGCUGCUCCUAGUACGAGAGGACCGGAGUGGACGCAUCACUGGUGUUCGGGUUGUCAUGCCAAUGGCACUGCCCGGUAGCUAAAUGCGGAAGAGAUAAGUGCUGAAAGCAUCUAAGCACGAAACUUGCC
rnacentral:rRNA from 1 species